rnacentral:rRNA from 1 species
GGUUGGGUUGUACACGACUCUCGGCAAUGGAUAUCUCGGCUCUCGCAUCGAUGAAGAGCGCAGCGAAAUGCGAUACGUGGUGCGAAUUGCAGAAUCCCGCGAACCAUCGAGUCUUUGAACGCAAGUUGUGCCCGAGGCCAACCGGCCAAGGGCACGUCCGCCUGGGCGUCAAGC